rnacentral:rRNA from 1 species
GGGUCAGUAGGUUGGUCGUGCCACCGGUACGUACUGGUCUCACUGAUUCCUCCUUCCUGAAGAACCGUAAUGCCAUUAAUUUGGCGUUGCGGGGAAACAGGACUGUUACUUUGAAAAAAUUAGAGUGUUUAAAGCAAGCUAACGCUUGGAUACAUUAGCAUGGAAUAAUGAAAUAGGACGAUCGAUCCUAUUUUGUUGGUUUCUAGGAUUGACGUA